rnacentral:rRNA from 1 species
GACGAACGCUGGCGGCGUGCCUAAUACAUGCAAGUUGAGCGCUGAAGGUUGGUACUUGUACCAACUGGAUGAGCAGCGAACGGGUGAGUAACGCGUGGGGAAUCUGCCUUUGAGCGGGGGACAACAUUUGGAAACGAAUGCUAAUACCGCAUAAAAACUUUAAACACAAGUUUUAAGUUUGAAAGAUGCAAUUGCAUCACUCAAAGAUGAUCCCGCGUUGUAUUAGCUAGUUGGUGAGGUAAAGGCUCACCAAGGCGAUGAUACAUAGCCGACCUGAGAGGGUGGUCGGCCACAGUGGGACUGAGACACGGCCCAAACUCCUACGGGAGGCAGCAGUAGGGAAUCUUCGGCAAUGGACGAAAGUCUGACCGAGCAACGCCGCGGGAGUGAAGAAGGUUUUCGGAUCGUAAAACUCUGUUGGUAGAGAAGAACGUUGGUGAGAGUGGAAAGCUCAUCAAGUGACGGUAACUACCCAGAAAGGGACGGCUAACUACGUG